CGUUUUAACGAUAUACAGGAGACGUGAGGGAAAAUUCCCUUUAUUUCCUGCGGAUGUACCCCUGCAAUAAAGCAGUGAUGUGAAUUAUGCCUUAUAGAACGUUUCUGCAGUCGGACAGCACUGUCGGUUGAUUUCUGUCUCCGUCCGAUUCCGGGAGUCGGGCAUAGAAUUGUACGGGACCCUUCCUUGGUCUGCUUUUAGCCGCUCAGACAUGGGAGAUGCCUGCCACAUGGUUAAUUUCUUUUCCCCUGCACUCCCAGUUGAAAAGACAACACUGUUCAUCCUGUGACUCCCGAUUCUUUGGGCAGCAUUCUGGCCAUUAUAGAAGGCAUGCUAGAUUGGAACCUAUGCCACAGAAAGAGAACAGCCUUUGUUUCCUGAGCAAAAGGGUCCCUAGAAGCUUUGGUUUUGCCUGUGGAUAGUGAUUAUGGAAGACGACUUGUUGGUGAACUGAUCCUCUAAUCUGAACAGCUCAAAUGGCU